UAGUAGGGGAGGGGAAGUGCCAAGAGGAGAUUUCGUGACAUGCUGGAGCGUGUCAGAUUGAGCUUGUAUAGGCUUCCC